rnacentral:tRNA from 5 species
GCGGGUGUAGUUCAAUGGUAGAACCUCAGCCUUCCAAGCUGAUGAUGUCGGUUCGAUCCCGAUCACCCGCUCCA